rnacentral:RNase_P_RNA from 1 species
UGAGUUAGCUAGAUGAUCGCUGGUUAUUGCAAAAUAACGAGAGGAAAGUCCGGGCUCCUCGGAUCAAGAUGCUAGAUAACGUCUAGAGGGCGCGAGUCCAUGGAAAGUGCUGAAGAAAUGAUACCGCCUAAAGAUCAUUAGAUCUCGGUAAGGGUGAGAAGGUGCGGUAAGAGCGCACCGUGCGAGAGGUGACUCUUCGUAGCUGAGGUAAACCCCAUCUGGAGCAAGACCAAAUAGGAGUACAUUAGACGAGAUCCGCGUUGUACUCGGGUAGGUCGCUUGAGCCUAGAAGCAAUUCUAGGCCUAGAGGAAUGAUCAUCCACGACAGAACCCGGCUUAUCGGCUAACUCAUCCC